rnacentral:lncRNA from 1 species
CAAGAUCAAAAAAGUCAAAGGUAUCAAACGUAUAAUACACCAAAAAGUAUAUGUAUUUAAAUAUUAGUACCUAGCUAAACACGUACGGAUCCCAUCCGGAUGUUUUCUAGACGGAGCCAACGGACCACAUCAUCAUGGUCGUUUAUUCAAAACAGAUGCAAAUCGUGCGGCCUCAAAUAUUUUCAAUUUAUGUCCCGAGGAAGGAAGGCACUGACGCUGCCUCUUCCAGCUGGUUUCUUUCCUGCUCUGUCACCCCAAAACUCAGUACCCAGCAACCCUUGCAAGCUUGCCUUCAUGACCAAGUAAUCCUCAGCAGAAGUUUGGGGGACGAAGGGAAAGGUUCAGCGCAGACCUCGUUACCCUCGCCCUCGCUACCAGCGGCCCUGUCUUCCUCUCGCUGCCACCGACGAUGAUGGUGUACGAAGACCGGAUCGGUCACCGACGGAGGGAUCGGAGGGGAAAAUGAAGCCGGCCGAAUGAUAUGCCUAUCGGACCGAUUGCAGAAUUCGAAUUCUUCAUCUAUGGAGUUUGCCCUUAAAAUUUUUCCCAAAUCCAUUUCCGUUAAUUUUUCCCCUAUUCUUGCUUGAAACCACUGCAGUCGCUAAAGAUUUUGUUUGUGGUUUCUGGGAAAUUGAUGGAUUAAUUCUUGGGUAUAUGAGAAGUCUUUUGGGUUGUUUGAUGGGUUAAUUCUUUGAUUAAUCCUUCCUUUUGGCCUUUUGGAAUGGGACAAGAAUAAAGAAUGCCGAGGGGUUUGAGGACGAAGGGAGAGAGAGUGAGAAAGCUGAAAAACAAAAUAUUCAAAAUAAUCUUGGGCCGUAGGAUAUGAGCUGAACGGUUUGGAUGGAUUGAUUCCCAGUGGAUCCGCAGAGAAGGAUCCGGCGAGGAUCCUGGUCCAAAUUAUAGUACUUAGUUGAAAACAUCCAAUCACACUACCUACUUAAAUCAUAGUACCUAAUCCAAUGUAUUUAUAUUAUUGUACCUAAUCGAAUUUAUCUAAAUUAUCGUACCUAAUCGAGUGUGAAAGCGUACCUAAUCAAACACAGAUGCAAUAGAUCAAUCCCAACUCCAACUCAACAAUUCAUACAAUAGCAAAAUGAUCAAAACCCAAUAAUAAAUCAUCCAACACAAAAUAAAACAUAAAAAAAAAGAAAUAUCACAAGCACAAUGCCACAAAAAAAGUUACUGAAGUUGAAUCCAUUCUCUUCGUUGCAAAUUGUUGGCAUUCAUCUAGAUACACAAGCCAUAUGCCAUUCAAAACCAACAGAAAGAAAAUAGAGGGACUCCUAAUGCAAAUGAUAAGAAAAAAGGGAAAAAUCGUAAUUAGCAGAUGUAUGUGAAGAAAUCAGCCAAUAUAUAGAUGAUUGCCUAAUCUCUUUUUCAAUUGCAGAAGCCUAAUCUCUUUCUAGGAAGAAGUCUAAUCUCUAAUUCUUUUGAUGUUGCAUCUUUAAAUGCCGGAUGCUCAUUUUGAAUUAAAAAACAAAAAUUCAUUCUAUUGCAAAACCAUUUAAUAGCAAUAUUUAGGGGUUAUAUAGGAAGAAAAAACAUGGUGUAAUUACAUAAAAUAUGAUGUGGAAUAUAAAUGUUGAUUUGGACACGAGUCAAAAGAUUAAAAUUAGUUUUUAAUCUUACUUGUGGUAUUUAUGUAAAAGUAAUCAUUUUAAGGACUAAAAUCCAGUUUUUAAAUUUUAGCCUAUCGGUCUAGUGGUAUUCCUUUUCACUUGUAAGUGAGAUCUUAGAUUCGAUUCUCGCCAAAGAUAACUUAGAACCACAUAAUUGCUAGCCCAUUGUGAGGCUUAGCCUUUCCCCUUCCCGUUAUUGUAGAUAAUAUCGUUUGUUAAAAAAAAAAAUUUCAUUUACCAAAUGUUGAAAACUACAAAACUUUAGGCUAGUAAACUGAGAUUAAAGAGAUAAAAAAAGAGCACAAAUAGAAACACAACUCUCUCCGUCGUGAGCCCCAUCAACUUUAUCAUAUUCACACCUAAUUCACUUACCUACACCACCAAAAAUUCCACACUCAAUAUAUUAACAAGAAGGGAAUUUUUUUUUCUUCAAGGAAGCAGUAUUAUGUAGGGUAAAGAAAUGAGUUAAGCUUCACAAUGGAUCAGCCAUAAUAAUGUAGUCCAAAUUCUCACUUGACAAAAAAAAAUCAAACCUAAAACCUCUAAUUUACAAGUAAAAAUAAAUACAACUGGCCGCAAUAGACUUACAAGUCAACGACCACAUUGUUCUCAAUUAUUCUCCACAAUUUUCCUUAUAAAUAUUCUUUUUCUUCCUUGCAUUCAUUUCAUCAAACACUAAAAUCCGUAUAGCAACCAUGGCAUUAGACACCCAAAGCCACCGCAGCAGCAACCACCACCACAACGACCACCAUAAACUGAUCAAACCACCGCAUGUUACCAUCGUCCCAACUCCAGGCCUAGGCCACCUCAUUCCCCUUGUCGAGUUAGCCAAACGACUCGUCAUCCAGCACAACUUCUCCAUCACAUUCAUCAUCCCCAACGACGGCUCGCACUUGGCUCCCCAAAAGAAAGUCCUUGAAGCCCUCGAUUCCCAGUCCAUUUCCUACGUCUUCCUCCCUCCUGUGAGCUUCCAUGACCUCCCUGUUGACGUCACGAUCGAGACCAAGAUCACACUAACCUUGACUCGAUCCCUCUCGGCUCUUCGAGACUCACUCAAGGUCCUAAACGAGUCAACUCGUCUAGUUGCACUUGUUGUUGAUUUCUUCGGUGCGGAGGCCUUAGAUGUGGCUAAUGAGUUCCACUUGUCCCCUUAUAUUUUCUUUUCUACUAACGCUAUGGGUUUAUGGCUUUUAUUUCAUUUGCCACAUCUUGACGAGACCACUUCAUGCGAGUACAGAGACUUGCCCGAACCGGUUCUACUUCCUGGUUGUGUGCCGAUCCAAGGUGGAGAUUUCUUAGACCCUGUUCAAGAUCGGUCCAAUCCGGUCUAUAAAGCUGUAGUUCAUAUUUUCAAAAAGUGCAGGUCGGCUGCCGGGAUUAUGGUCAACAGCUUUGCGGACUUGGAACCUGGUGCUUUCAAGGCUUUUAAGGAAAAAGAGUUAGGUCUAUGUCUUCCACCAGUUUAUCCUAUUGGACCGGUUAUAAAAACCAGUUCAACAGAUGGGUUAGACGCAAAUGAGUGUUUGAGGUGGCUAGAUAAGCAACCCUAUGGGUCAGUUCUAUUUGUUUCAUUUGGGAGCGGUGGAACACUGUCACAAGAACAACUAAAUGAGUUGGCCUUAGGGCUUGAAUUAAGCGGGCAAAGAUUCAUUUGGGUUGUCAAGAGCCCAAAUGAGACCGCUAACAAUGCUUCUUACUUUACUGUCAAAGGCGGGGAGAACCCGUUUGAGUUUCUACCAAACGGGUUUCUGGAGAGGACCAAAGAUGUUGGCCUAGUUGUGUCAUCAUGGGCGCCACAGGUCCAAGUGCUGAGCCACGAGUCGACAGGGGGAUUUCUGACCCAUUGUGGGUGGAACUCGGUACUAGAGAGCAUCGUGCAUGGUGUGCCUCUGAUUGCUUGGCCGCUCUAUGCAGAGCAAAGAAUGAAUAAGGUGCUUCUAGUUGAUGGUUUGAAAGUUGCAUUUGGGGUCAAAGCGGAUGAGAAAGGCAUAGUGGGGAGCCAAGAUAUUGCUAAGUAUGUAAGGGACAUAAUUGAAGGAGAUGAAGGGAAAUUGCUAAGGAAGAAAAUGGAAGGGUAUAAAGAGGCAGCCAAAUUGGUUUGGGAAGAAGAAGGAUCGUCUGCCAAGUCUCUUACUGAAGUGGCUCAAAUAUUGAAUGGACUCAAGAACUAAAUGAACUGUAACCUAAUAUGUCAAUUAUUGCGUCCAUAUUGGCAAAGUGAAUAAAAUAAGGGGUAAAUGAAUUUUAAUCCUUCUAUUAGAUUAAAUCUCAUAAUGAGCCAUUAAUAAUGUGAUUUAAAGAAUCGAAUCUAGCCAUUUAGUACUACGUUCUAGUGGCAUUCCUCCUCACUUGUAAGUGAGAGGUCUUAGAUUCGAUUAUCGCCAAAGGUGAAUUUAAAUCAUAUUAUUGCUAGUCCACUGUGAGGCUAAUCAACCUCCUCCCCCUUAGUAUAGAGAAUAUCGUUUGUUAAAAAAAAAAAAAAUUGAAACUAAAACCUCUUACUUACAAGUGAAUAGGAAUACCGUUAGAUCUUAAUAAUAAGUGGCGAUAUUUGAUCUUAGUCCUCCAUGUCAUCAUGAUUAUUAGAACUCAUAUUUUGUUGUUUUUAGACUCUUUAAUGGCUCUUUUUGUUUCCAUUGUGCCCCUAUAAUUAAUUAUUCGACCUUCUUGGUAUGGUUCUGCAUUAUUAGGAUCUAAUUUUGACUUUGAUUAAUUUAUGCUUGAUUUCUUCCAUGAUUAUAGUGCCUGGAAAGAUUUUUUUCAUAUCAUCAUGUGUAAAUUACAAGAUGAAAAAAGUCAAAGGCAUCACACGUAUAAUACACCAAAAAAGUAUAUGUAUUUAAAUAUUAGUAUCUAGCUAAACACACUUAAAUUAUAGGGGUACAGAUCCCAUCCGGAUGUUUUCUAGACGGAGCCAACGGACCACAUCAUCAUAGUCGUUUCAAAACAUAUUCAAAUCGUGCGGCCUCAAAUAUUUUCAAUUUAUGUCCCGAGGAAGGAAGGCGCUGACGCUGCCUCUUCCAGCUGGUUUCUUUCCUGCUCUCUCACCCCAAAACUCAGUACCCAGCAACCCUUGCAAGCUUGCCCUCACGACCAAGUAUUCCUCAGCAGAGGUUUGGGGGACGAAGGGAAAGGUUCAGCGCAGACCUCGUUACCCUCGCCCUCGCUACCAGCAGGCCCAUCUUCCUCUCGCUGCCACCGGCGAUGAUGGUGUACGAAGACCGGAUCGGUCACCGGCGGAGGGAUCGAAGUGGAAAAUGAAGCCGGCCGAAUGAUAUGCCUAUCGGACCGAUUGCAGAAUUCGAAUUCUUCAUCUAUGGAGUCUGCCCUUAAAAUUUUUCCCAAAUCCAUUUCCGUUAAUUUUUCCCCUAUUCUUGCUUGAAACCACUGCAGUCGCUAAAGAUUUUGUUUGUGGUUUCUGGGAAAUUGAUGGAUUAAUUCUUGGGUAUAUGAGAAGUCUUUUGGGUUGUUUGAUGGGUUAAUUCUUUGAUUAAUCCUUCCUUUUGGCCUUUUGGAAUGGGACAAGAAUAAAGAAUGCCGAGGGGUUUGGGGACGAAGGGAGAGAGAGUGAGAAACGGAAGCUGAAAAAAAAAAAUUAUUCAAAAUAAUCUUGGACCGUAGGAUAUGAGCUGAACGGUUCGGAUGGAUUGAUUCCCAGUGGAUCCGCAGAGAAGGAUCCGGCGAGGAUCCUGGUCCAAAUUAUAGUACUCAGUUGAAAACACCCAAUCACACUACCUACUUAAAUCAUUGUACCUAAUCCAAUGUAUCUAUAUUAUCGUACCUAAUCAAAUUUAUCUAAAUUAUCGUACCUAAUCGAAUGUAUCUAACUAAACGUACCUAAUCAAAUACAGAUGCAAAAGACCAAUCCCAACUCCAACUCAACAAUUCAUACACUAGCAAAAUGAUCAAAACCCCAUAAUAAAAUCAACCAACACAAAAUAAAAAAUAAAAAAAAGAAAUAUCACAAGCACAAUGCCACAAAAAGAGUUGCUGAAGUUGAAUCCAUUCUCUUCAUUGCAAAUGUUGGCAUUCAUCUAAAAGAGUUGCUGAAGUUGAAUCCAUUCUCUUCAUUGCAAAUGUUGGCAUUCAUCUAGAUACACAAGCCAGAUGCCAUUCAAAACCAACAGAAAGAAAAUAGAGAGAGACCUAAUGCAAAUGAUGAGAAAAAAGGGAAAAAUCGCAAUUAGCAGAUGUAUGUGAAGAAAUCAGCC